CCAUCCCCCAUGAUACAGAAGAAAAGAGAAAAGAAGUGACCUCUCUUUGGUCACACAGCAAGUUCCAGGAUGGAGCGAGUAAAACGGAUGCUCAGGAGGAAGGCCGGGCAGGUGGCUCCAGAGCCAGCAGGAAACAUCAGCCAGCCGUCCCAGGAGGAGAGCGGCCCCUCUGUCCCUGCGGGCAGGGAAGAGGCUUGUGGCCAGGGUAAAGAGAGGCACUCCGUCGCAUGCUGGAGGAGGAGGAAGACACCAGCUCCCCUAGCUGACCCUGAGGCACCUUCUGGGCCGAAAUGGAGGUGGCCCCGGGUACAGCUAUGGAGGAAGGAGCCAGGAGAGGGCAGGAGCCGGGGAAGGCAGCUCUGGGGCUUCCUUCACAGGAAGCCAAGGAGCCAAGAGCUGCGCCCCAGGGCCCAGCAGGAGACGUCCACCACUCUGGCCAUGGAGGAGCCUCCCGCCGUUACCACUCUGGCCAUGGAGGAGCCUCCCGCCGUUACCACUCUGGCCAUGGAGGAGCCUCCCGCCAUUACCACCCUGGCAACUGCGGAGCCUCCUGCCAGUCCAGAACAGGAGUUGAGCAACUGUGCGACAAACACCAGCAGCUCCGCAUACUCCUGCGGGGCCAGCAGCUCCUCCGUGGGGUCUGGCAGCCCUGAGUUUGAAGGCUCCCUCUUUGGAGAGACCCCCAGUGCCUAGGUGUCAUGUGGUGAGGAGGAGGAGGAAGAAGAGGAG